CCUACGGGGUGCAGCAGGCGCGAAAACUUUACAAUGCUGGCAACAGCGAUAAGGGAACCCUCGAGUGCCAGGUUACAAAUCUGGCUGUCGAGAUGCCUAAAAAGCAUUUCAUAGCAAGGGCCGGGCAAGACCGGUGCCAGCCGCCGCGGUAACACCGGCGGCUCGAGUGGUAACCGUUAUUAUUGGGUCUAAAGGGUCUGUAGCCGGCCGGAUAAGUCUCUUGAGAAAUCUGGCAGCUUAACUGUCAGGCUUUCAGGAGAUACUGUCUGGCUCGAGGCCGGGAGAGGUGAGAGGUACUUCAGGGGUAGGGGUGAAAUCUUGUAAUCCUUGAAGGACCACCAGUGGCGAAGGCGUCUCACCAGAACGGACCUGACGGCAAGGGACGAAAGCUAGGGGCACGAACCGGAUUAGAUACCCGGGUAGUCCUAGCCGUAAACGAUACUCGCUAGGUGUCGGCCACGGUGCGACCGUUGUCGGUGCCGUAGGGAAGCCGUGAAGCGAGC
rnacentral:rRNA from 1 species